rnacentral:rRNA from 1 species
UCCAGCGUACCAUAAACGCAAGCCUCAACGCAGCGACGAGCACGAGAGCGGUCAGUAGCAAUCCAAACUUUGUUACUCGUCAGAAAAUCGAAAUCAUCUUCGGUUAAAUCCAAAACGGCAGAAGCCUGAAUGAGCUUAAUAGAGGCCAAAGCGGUCUGGAAACGUACGGAUUGUUCAGUAACUUGACUCAUG